UUCUGGGAGGAGGCAGGGCUGUGGGCAGAGGAGGCCGGAGCCGGAGGAACCAGGAGCCCGAAGCCCCCACCCUUCGAUUCUCUGCCACAGCCCAGCCUCACGCUCAGGGCCUGUGGCCUCAGGGACGCGGCCCAGGACGGGCCCUGCACACACGCCUCCCUGGUAAGGCUCACGCCUGUGACUUGGGCGCUUCCCCCUUCCCAGCCUCUCCUUCUCCUUCUGAAGGGGCGGCUGGGAGGCCCGAGCGAGGGACCACGCCUGGAGGCCCCGCCGACGCCCGCACGACGCCGGAGCUCCGCCAGCCUUAGCUCCCAGUGUAUUUCCGAGGCGCCAGCGCAGCAUCCCGAGACCUCCUGUGUGCUGUUCGCCGGAGCCCUUGCACCCAAGAGCCCGGGAUGGGCUCUGGCCUCGGCGGGUCCCUGGAAAACAGGCUGCUUCUCCAGAAACCCCGAGAUGAGCAGGAAAGGCCCUCACUCUGGACAGACAGACUUCUUGGUGGCUUGACCCGACCUGCGACGGCCCUGCCCUCUGCGGAGCCUGGCCCGCCGGCCUCCCACCGUUGCCUUCUUCCCCUCCGGUCCCGGACCCAGGGGACUCGGGGACUCGGGAGGUCCCCACACAGCCGGCGGGGGCCCCCUGGGUCCCAGGCCCUGCCCCAGGCCCUGUGGUUU